CCAGGACUGGGCCAAGCUGAAGCCAGGAGCCAGGUGCCUCUUCCUGGUCUCCCACAUGGGUGAAGGGGCCCAAGGACUUGGGUCAUCCUCUGCUGAUUUCCCAGGCGCAUCCACAGGGAGCUGGAUCAGAAGUGGAGUAGCUGGGACUUGAAUGGGCAUCUAUAUAGGAUGCUGGCAUCACAGGCCACAGCUUAAUCCACUAGGCCACCACGCCAGCCCGCUUAGGAACCUUUUGAAGUCCCCCUCCUACUGAACCCUGCUAAAGAGUAGUUGCUCUUCACAUGCUGCUAAAUUGAGAGAUGCUUGUGUCAAGGAUGAUGGAGUUUUACGAUGCGCAUUUCUGUGGUUCAGCGUGGGUUGGACUUUGAUGGACUUCCAACGGCAUGGGCAUGCAGGUAGGUGGCCUUGCUGGCUCCUGGUGUUGUGGUGGAUCCUCAGUGUUGAAUUCCCACCUUGGAAUUAUAAACACCCUUCUCUCCUUGCAGUUUCCGGCCUCUGAGGGCUGAGAGAGCAGAGUCUGAACUUGGAAUAUGAAUUCCAGAGGGCCUGCGGUCCCACUUUGCAUGUGGGAGAGUUCACUCAUCCCGUGCUUUCCCAACGCUGCCUCCCUGGGAGUCGGCGUGGAGCAGGAGACGGGCAUCAGAGCUGCACCCCACCCCCACCCCCAGGCCUCCUGGACCUGCGGAAUGGAAACUGGUCUCCCCAUGACUCAGGGUGAGGGCGCCCACUGAGGGUACUGCUGUUUCCCCGCGGGGCAUCUGAUUUUUAUCUCCCUGAUUUCACAGUUUGUUAAUGACAUUUUCAAAAGUUCUGUGGCCUCCAAAAUUGUUUCCACAAUUUUUUUUUUGGCCCUAAAGCUUUGAUUUGGCUAUUUUUGGAGCCUGAAGUUGCUGUGGUGUUGUAACGUGACGUGUGAGUGUGACCUUUCAGUGUCCAAGAGCUGUGAAUGACCUGGGACCACUUGAAGGUGAGCCAAGUGGGUCCCCGUUGUCUUCUUGGAUGGCCCUCCCUCUGUGGCUGCUGUAUCCUGACAGCCGGUGCAGGACACGCGUGGCAAUGCUCUGUUGGGAGCUUGCCCAGGCUGUGAACCGGGUAAGAUCUGCUGAAGGUCUUGCCAGCUACAGUCAGAAGAUGAUGGAUGGGCUUUUCCUGUGGGGCCAACGUGCCAGUGCUGGGCUACCAAGGCAAAGACACAAAGGUUAUAUUGGAGGCCAGGCCCUCAUGGCAGCUCUGCUGCUUUGUACGACAAGGUCGAGUGACUUGAACUUGCUGAUCCUUAGUGUUCACAUCUGUAAAAUGGCUCCACAGUUCUCGCUGGGUUCUGAUAAGAAUCAGUUGUUAGUUUCUGUCCACAGUCUUCUUGAGUCCCACACUGGAAACAGGGACAAUGUUCGCCACUGAGCUCUUCUUCCUUUAGAGACUUCGUCCUUUAUCCGUAUGAGGGACUUCAAAAAGUUCCAGGAAAAUGCAAAUUAUUAAAAAAAAAGCUAUGCAUGCAUUACAAAUUUUUGUACCAAAAUGAACUUAACUUUUUUUUAAGAAGUAUUUGAACAGCAUAGAGACUGAGAGAGCGAUUGUGAGUUUCCAUCCGCUGCUUCUCGCCCCAGAUGCCUGCAAUGGCUGGGGUUGGGCCAGGGCUGAGUCUAGGAAUCUGAAACUCAAUCCAGAUCUCCCACGUGGAUGUCAGGAACCCACCAGAGCCAUCGCUGCUGCCUCCUGGUGUCUGCAUUAGGAGAAAGCUGGAGUGAGGAGCCGGAGCUGAUAAUUGAACCCAGAGAGAGAGAAAUGGAAAGAGAUCUUCUAUCUGCUGGUUCACCCCCCAAAAUGACCACAGCAACCAGGACUGAGCCAGGUUGAAGCCAGGAGUCAGGAGCUCCAUCUGGAUCUGCCACGAGGGACCUCAGUACCUUGCCAGCAUUUGGGGAGUUGCAUGAGGGCAGAAGCAAGCUCAAGAAGCAUCAUCAGGACACUGGAUUCUUUGGGAAAACCACACUCAAAAAAGAGGAAAGAUGCGAACAUUGAACAGGAAAAAUCUGGAGAAUUUAAAUUCCUGUAAUGGCAUCCGGAGACUUAAAUUCUUAAGAGCUGAGUUUCCUCUUUGAUCACCCAGAAUCAUUUCACAGAACUUGCAAUGAAGAAGACACGUAGACUCAGUGACUCAGAGCUGGAAUCUACCCUUUUCUCCAGGGAGCCAAUGGGAAUGUAGACACAGAAUAGGGAAGGGAGAGCUGGGGACACAGGCUUGUUUGUGGGAUUAGGAAGGUAUCCAAGUCCAGAGCAGGCCAGUCUGGAAGGAUCAGGAAGGAAUAAAAGGUCAUGACAGGGAAUGAUCUGAGCCAAGAAAAAGCAGCCCAAACUGGAGUGACUGGCAGGCUCUGAGAGACUGAAACAGAGCAUGGUUGGGCGUUAAGAGGUUGUGUAAUUCUAGGAUAUGUCAUUGGCCAGGGAAGACAUUCUGAGUUAGCAGUCGUGGGGAAAUCCAUUAUUAGCCUAUUGACUAUAUGACUUUGGGCAGAUGAGUUAAUCUCCAGGAGCCAUUUCUUUCAUUAUAAAGGAGGACUCGUAAGGCUUCCCGCCUUACAAGGAUUAAUGCUAACACGUUCUGUAAUUAUUUCCAAGAUUGAAGCGCUUGUUCCUGUCUCCAUACAUCCCUAUUCUAACUCCCUAUGCCCUAAGUACUGCUUCAGGGACAGUAAAGCUAUCACCCUCCCUUUCUCCUGACCUCCUGUGUCCAUACUCUCUAUGUACUUCGUACCUCAUCCCGGGUAAACCACUGAGAGACACAUGAUGACAUCCGUGUAGAUGUGACUGAGCUUGCAUUUCCUUACUGACCUCCACUGUAGGAGAGACCAGGACAGGGAAGCACUUCAAAAUCAUGUCCUGCGAGGCACAACAGAAAGAACCAGGGAAAUGGAGUAUGGAGCCAAAAGGAUUAAGUCCAGGGAAAGGUAUGAGCGUUGCUUUGAACUCUUUGGUUCACUUUCGGAUCUAUUCUGGGAAAUAGUGGUGUCUCUAGCCCUGGGUAGCCAUCUGUGUAGGAAUUGAAGAGGAAGUUUUCAUGUGAGAAAGGGCCAGUUUCCAAGAAUUUUCAAGACCUCCGGACUAUGAGAGCCUGUGGUUUGAUUUUAUUUAUUUUCCUUUUAUUUGACAAGCUAGGGAAGGGGGGGUGGGAGAGAUGGUG